rnacentral:rRNA from 1 species
UACGGAGGGUGCAAGCGUUAAUCGGAAUUACUGGGCGUAAAGCGCACGCAGGUGGCUGAGUCAGUCGAUUGUGAAAGCCCUGGGCUUAACCUGGGAAUUGCAGUCGAUACUACUCAGCUAGAGUAUGGGAGAGGGUAGUGGAAUUCCCGGUGUAGCGGUGAAAUGCGUAGAUAUCUGGAGGAACACCGGUGGCGAAGGCGGCAUCCUGGACCGACACUGACGCUGAGGAGCGAAAGCCAGGGGAGCAAACGGG